rnacentral:snRNA from 1 species
GUGCUUGCUUCAGCAGCAUAUAUACUAAAAUUGGAACGAUACAGAGAAGAUUAGCAUGGCCCCUGCUCAAGGAUGAUACACAAAUUCAUGAAGCAUUCCAUAUAAAA